CCUACGGGAGGCAGCAGUGGGGAAUAUUGCGCAAUGGGCGAAAGCCUGACGCAGCGACGCCGCGUGAGGGAUGAAGGUCUUCGGAUCGUAAACCUCUGUCAGCAGGGAAGAACGGUCACUGUGCUAAUCAGCAGUGAAUUGACGGUACCUGCACAGGAAGCACCGGCUAACUCCGUGCCAGCAGCCGAGGUAAUACGGAGGGUGCGAGCGUUAAUCGGAAUUACUGGGCGUAAAGCGCUCGUAGGCGGUAUGUCAAGUCAAGGGUGAAAUCCCCGCGCUCAACGUGGGAACUGCCGUUGAAACUGGCAAACUUGAGUGUGUGAGAGGAAAGUGGAAUUCCAGGUGUAGGAGUGAAAUCCGUAGAUAUCUGGAGGAACAUCAGUGGCGAAGGCGACUAUCUGGCACAUAACUGACGCUGAGGAGCGAAAGCGUGGGUAGCAAACAGGAUUAGAUACCCGAGUAGUC
rnacentral:rRNA from 1 species